UGAAUAACACAAAAGAUUGUUUUAUUGGUUGUGCACUUAUCGUUUUUAUCAAGGAACAAAGAUUCAUUCAUGUCUUUUACAAAAAGGGCAUACAAAAAGAGACGCAGUAGACAAGUCCAAAAGGAAUAUUAAAAAAUACUAGAAUUUUCAUCAGUACAUAUAGAAAAAAAAUCGAAUGUUGAAACUUCUAAAAGAAAUGAUUUCUUAUCUUGCGAAAAUCUAAAAGAAUAUUUUGACCAUCAUGAAUCAUCAUCAAGAAUCAUCGAUUUUGUACAAUGAAUACUCUUAUGACCAAAAGCCUAAUGAGUAUAAGCAUAACCCAACUUUAAAGGAAGGUUUUUCUUUAUGUUUUUCUAACCAAGUAAUGUUGCACUAAACAAGUGGAUUGACAAAGAAUAGCAACAAAUUUAUUGUCCCAAAAAAAACUAUAAUCAUGCGCUGAAAAACAACCUUUUGUCAACAAAAGAAUGGCACAAAUUUCCAUUGAUAAAGUUUAAUAUAACAGAUGGCCAAUAUCUAACUUGUUUUGUGUUUUUUUAAAGGUAACUUAAUUACUUUUUUGUAGCAAAAUGUUUUAUAAUUAGAUUCAUUUUCAUGUUGUGAAGAAUAGAACUUUUUACAUCAGAUGAGAUAUAUGUUAAAGAAAGCAUUAAAAAUAAGAAUAACAAAUCAUACCGCUCUUCAUUGCCAGAACCUCCGCCACCUAUUAUGAAUAAGCCCAAUGCUAAAAGUAUAACACAAAUAUCAUAAUUUUUUCUUAAUGGUUUAUAAACUCAAAUACAUUCUUGUUUAAUUUGAUCUGAAUAAUAUCUAUCUAGCUAUUAGUCUUUUUAUGUAUUUCUAAGGUUUUCCUUUUAUUUUCACUAUUUGGGUGUCCUAUUAUAUGUAAUGUUGUUAAAUUGGUUACAUAUAUUUAUAUCAUUGACAACAUUCUAUUGUAUUAAAUAAUCCUUUAAUCAACUUGAUAUGAAAAUUGAAAAUUGAUUGAAAGCAUGCUGAAAUUGUUUGAAUUCAGAAGUUGAAAGAGUACAAAAUUGGUUGAAAGAUUAAAUUAAGUAACAGUUAUGGUUGAGGGAUUAUUUAUAGUUCUAAUUAUAAUUAUUUCUUUUGAAUAGAGUUAUUAUCAGAUUCAUAAAUUGAAGAUGUUUUUUCUUCACAUUUUAUUGAUGAACACAAUAAAACCAAGCAAAGUUCACAUUGUCAAAGAGUUUCAAGUUUUAAUGAGGAAAUAUCAAGAAUUGCUCUUGAGCCAAGCCCAAAGAAAAAUACACGAAAGUUAUCACUAGGGCUGUGGAGUCUGAGUUGCGGAGUUGAGACAUUUUCAGCGGAGUCAGAGUUGCUAAACAAAAUCGCGACUCCGACUCCAAUAGUAAAACUUCUCGGUAUUGUACGUGCAUGUACAAAACAUUCAAUUAACGUUAUGUUCAUACUAGACCUCAAAGAACGUUUCAUAAAUUUGUCAAAAAAGAAAUUUCUAACUUAUCCCGUAAUAUUUUUAAAAAAAUUUGAAAAAUUUUUCUAAAAUAAUGCUUUGGAGUUGUAAUCGAAGUUGGAGUUGGAGUCGGAGUUGUGCUCAAAAAGUUUCAACAACUGGAGUCGGAGUUGGAGUUGUACUCAAAAAGUUUCAACAACUGGUGUCGGAGUCAUUAAUUUUUUUUUACAACUCCACACCCCUGGUUAUCAGUAACGGUUUCCAAUCUGCCCCUUUUGCCUUUGUCUGAUUCUGCAGAUAAAGUUUUAGAUGAUUUAAAAAGUAGGUUUUCCAAAAUAUUAUGGCAACUUCUGCGAUGGAGUAAUAAAAAAAAUUACAUGUAUUUUUGGAAUUUUAGUUUGAGUUACUCAAGCAUAAUUUGAAUUUUAAAAUUGUUAUUUCAUUGAAGUUUUUAUUUAAAAGAAGUUAUAGAAAUUAAGUUUCAGGCUACUGGGGUGAAGUUGAUAGAAUCAGUGGAUGAAGUGGUUACACAGUGGAUAAUAAACUAAAAGAUAAAACCGAGUAUACUAAUUUGCUUGAUAGUUUGAAAAAGAUUGGUGGCGGAAAGCCAAGAGAACAUGUUUUUUUGAUCAUGAAAAGGUUAUUUUCAAAUCAGUUACAGUCCAAAUUAAAUCGAAAAGGAAAUGGGGAAAAGAUAAACUUAGAAAAUCUAGUAAAUAUAUGGAGUGUUUUACGAGAUAUCGGCGACGUGGAAGAUGUUGACGGCGAUGCAGAAAUAUAGUUUCUUAUGUAUAUUUUUGUGAAAUAAAAUUAAGUAAUUUUAGUUAAAA